GAUGAACGCUGGCGGCGCGCCUAACACAUGCAAGUCGAACGAUUAAAGCACCUUCGGGUGUGUAUAAAGUGGCGAACGGCUGAGUAACACGUGGGCAACCUGCCCCUUUCAUUGGGAUAGCCACGGGAAACCGUGGAUAAUACCGAAUACUUCGAGACUUCCGCAUGGAAGACUCGAGAAAGCUCCGGCGGAGAGGGAUGGGCCCGCGGCCUGUUAGCUUGUUGGUGGGGUAACGGCCUACCAAGGCAAUGAUGGGUAGCUGGGUUGAGAGACCGACCAGCCAGAUUGGGACUGAGACACGGCCCAGACUCCUACGGGAGGCAGCAGUGGGGAUUCUUGCACAAUGGGCGAAAGCCUGAUGCAGCGACGCCGCGUGCGGGAUGAAGGCCUUCGGGUUGUAAACCGCUUUCAGCAGGGACGAGGCGAAAGUGACGUUACCUGCAGAAGAAGCCCCGGCUAACUACGUG
rnacentral:rRNA from 1 species